UGCGUAGGCGGCCGAUAAAGUCAGGGGUGAAAGGCUACGGCUUAACCGUAGUAAGCCUUUGAAACUUAUUGGCUUGAGUGCAGGAGAGGAGAGUGGAAUUCCUAGUGUAGCGGUGAAAUGCGUAGAUAUUAGGAGGAACACCAGUGGCGAAGGCGACUCUCUGGACUGUAACUGACGCUGAGGCACGAAAGCGUGGGGAGCGAACA
rnacentral:rRNA from 1 species